rnacentral:rRNA from 1 species
AACCUGGUUGAUCCUGCCAGUAGUCAUAUGCUUGUCUCAAAGACUAAGCCAUGCACGUCUAAGUACAAACUAAAUGAUGGUGAAACUGCAAAUGGCUCAUUACAACGGUUAUGAUGUACCCGGGAGUUCCGAUGGAUAUUUCCAGUAACACUAGAACUAAUACAUGUCCCUGCGUUUAUUAGUUUCGCACAGUCCGUCGCUGAGUCAUGGUAAACAGUUGAUCGACUCGACGUCCCGGAACAGUUUCCGCCCCAUCAGCUUCGAUGGUUGGGUAUUGGCCUACCAUUGCAACAACGGGUAACGAGGAAUUAGGGUUUGAUUUCGGAGAGGGAGCCUGAGAAACGGCUACCACAUCUACGGAUGGCAGCAGGCGCGCAAAUUACCCAAUGCAGACACUGUGAGGUAGUGACGAGAAAUAAUAAAGCGGGACUUCUGUUUCGCUAUUAUAAUGAGGAAUAACCAAAGGUCAUUCCGAUUAGCAACUGAUGGGAAAGUCUGGUGCCAGCAGCCGCGGUAAUACCAGCGUCAGUAGCAUAUAUUAAAAUUGUUGCAGUUAAAACGUCCGUAGUCUGUACGUCGUCCCAAACUCACUGCAGUCUUCCGUUUUCUUAAUUGAAUGCGGUAGUUUCUGCAGUCACUCCCUUGAUCAAAUUAGGUUGUUCAAGGUAGACCAAGUCUUCAUAUUUUCACAUGGAAUUGGGUGAGGGAACUUAAGAGUUUAAGUUUCUCGUCUUAGGAUCAUCCGGGGUCAUUCGUACUCGUCCGCGAAAGGUGAAAUUCUUGGACCGGACGAAGACGACCAGCAGCGAAAGCAUCUGUCAGGGAUGUUUUCUGCGGCAAAGGACGAAGGUCAGGGUAUCGAAGACGAUUAGAUACCGUCGUAGUCCUGACUGUAAACUAUGCCAACUUGGGUCUUGCUGGGCGAUGCUUUGUGAGACCCACACAGAAAUGAAAGUGUAUGGGUUCUGGGGGUAGUAUGGACACAAGUCUGAAACUUGAAGGAAUUGACGGAAGAGCACCAUAAGACGUGGAGCUUGCGGCUUAAUUUGACUCAACGCGGGAAAACUUACCAGGUCAAGACAUGGGCGUGAUUGACAGGCUAAUGACUUUUCUCGAUUCCAUGGAUGGUGGUGCAUGGUCGCACUUAGUUGGUGCAGUGAUUUGUCAGGUUUAUUCCGGUAACGAACGAGACCUUAGCCUA